UGCUCUGAUGAUCUCAUGUAUUUCGCUGUGUUCUUGCUGAAUCCUUAUGUGGAACAUACAUCACCUUGGAGAACUGAUCC
rnacentral:snoRNA from 1 species